UACGUAGGGUGCGAGCGUUGUCCGGAAUUACUGGGCGUAAAGCGCGCGUAGGCGGCUUUGUAAGUUAGAGGUGAAAGCCCGGAGCUCAACUCCGGAACUGCCUUUAAGACUGCAUCGCUAGAACGUCGGAGAGGUAAGUGGAAUUCCGAGUGUAGAGGUGAAAUUCGUAGAUAUUCGGAAGAACACCAGUGGCGAAGGCGACUUACUGGACGACUGUUGACGCUGAGGUGCGAAAGCGUGGGGAGCAAACAGG
rnacentral:rRNA from 1 species